CCUACGGGCGGCAGCAGUGAGGAAUAUUGGUCAAUGGGCGGAAGCCUGAACCAGCCAAGUCGCGUGAGGGAAUAAGGCCCUACGGGUCGUAAACCUCGUUUGCCGGGGAGCAAGGGCGGGGACGUGUCCCGGCCCGGAGAGGACCCGGAGAAAAAGCAGCGGCGAACUCCGUGCCAGCAGCCGCGGUAAUAAGGAGGAUGCGAGCGUUAGCCGGAUUUAUUGGGUUUAAAGGGUGCGUAGGCGGGCUUUGAAGUCAGCGGUAAAAAUUCGGGGCUCAACCCCGUCCGGCCGUUGAAACUGGGGGCCUUGAGUGGGCGAGCCGCAGGCGGAAUGCGUGGUGUAGCGGUGCACUGCCUCGCUAUCACGC
rnacentral:rRNA from 1 species